UCGUAAAUUUUCAGAGCAAGUGAGCAGAUGGAAUUUCGGCGAGUGCAUCACGUGCGAAAACUCCCGUAUACGCAAAUUCGCAAAAACUGCAGCGGCGAUCGAUCACACGCAUAUUAAUUGGGGUGGGGAUAUGGGCCAAGGCGUGUGCGCCAUGCAAAAUGUUAAAUGUGAAGUGCUAAAUGCGAAAUGCAAAAUGCAAAAUGCGAAAUGGAAUAUCAUGACAACACCCGCUCACGCCCAUCGAAUCAGCAGAGCUGCGGAUUAAUGUAACAUGCAAAAAAUGCCGCAAUUUAUUUACAUUUACCAGCACUUGAGAAAAUGGUUUCAUUCGGUAUAAUAAUAAUAUAUGUAUAACAGAUAAUAAUAAAAAAAAUCCUUUUUAAAUUCUUUAAUAAAACCUGAUGUGCUGAGAUAUAUUUA